rnacentral:rRNA from 1 species
UACGCAGGUGGCGAGCGUUGUCCGGAUUUACUGGGCGUAAAGAGCGCGCAGGCGGUCGUUCAAGUCGCGUGUGAAAGCCCCCGGCUCAACUGGGGAGGGUCACGCGAUACUGAUCGACUCGAAGGCAGGAGAGGGUAGUGGAAUUCCCGGUGUAGUGGUGAAAUGCGUAGAUAUCGGGAGGAACACCAGUGGCGAAGGCGACUACCUGGCCUGUUCUUGACGCUGAGGCGCGAAAGCUAGGGGAGCAAACGGG